CAGCUGCCUGGAGAAUCAGCAUUACCCAUGGAAAUCUCUGCAGAGAGGUUUUUGUACUCGGCUGCCAUCCUCCACCUGCAUCAGAAAAGAAGGCUCAAGGCUGAUGAAAGAAAAAUAAGAAGAUCUGUGAAAACCUAAAACUGGGUUUAACAGCAAUAGCAGCUGAAGCUUCUUGGAACUGAAAGGUUAUAGCAACAGCCAUCAGUACAGACAUGCCUCAGUAUUUACAUGGGAUCAAGAUAUCAGCUGAAGUAUCGUGUUUUUAAAUUCCUUUGAGAGCCUGUCUUAGUCCCUGGGGUUCAAGCAGCUGUGGCAGUGCAGGAUCAGAGGGAAUGUGAGAUGAGAUGAUUCUCCUCCACUGCGAAAAACUGUCACUCAGGCCUUCACCUAAGAAAAAAGGUGAUUUCUCUCUCCAGCUCCAGUGCCCAGCUCUGAAAUGAACCCAAGACUUGGAACCUUCCAAGGCUCAACAGAGAGUUGCCAAGCUGGAAAAAAAACACUGCUGGGAAACUCUAGCACUUCUCCUAGGCAGAAAUAUCCAGGAACCAGCUUGAAGGAACUGGCUGGCUCUCAUAAAAUACAUUACAUGUGGCUGUUCUGUCUCUCAUAUAUCUUUGCUUGUGUUACAAAAAAAUAGAGGUAGGGGCUGUAUGUUAAAGCAGGCCAGAUCAUAAAUGUGAAGGUAUAGCCAUAGUUUUACUCCGCAAUUGAAUAGUCUGGGAAAGUAAACAGAAGGAGAUGCAAGUAGAACAAAAGCAAGCUCAGCCUUCCAUCCAGUAGAAAAAAACCUGCUGGUGUGUUGGAUAUUGUACAGAACACCGCAGAAUUUUCCCCUGCACAUCAUGGGAUCAAAUAUACCUCACAGCUGAGUUGCAACUCUAGCACCUGUAUGCAAGCUGAGAAUCAAAUGGUGAGACACCAGGAAGAAGGAUACCUUGCUGAGAACUUCCUCAGAUUCACCCAGUGCUUCAGACAAAAAAAAACAAAAAAAAAAGAAAGAAAGAAAGAGGGCACUAUUUCUUGGAAUUCCUCUUCUAGGACUCAGCUUUCAAAGUGCACCAUCAGUAUUUGUCAGCAUGACUGGGACUUACUCUGUGUGGAAAAAACACUGGUGGCUCUUCUGAUUGCACGGGAUGUAUUUGAGAGUACUGAUGUGUGUUUACUACAGUGUGUGGUUAGCAUUCACGGUGUUGUUUCUAGCACGAAACAAAUACCAGGUUAGCAAGGUGUUUUAUUUCCCACAGCAAUGAUAGUGUGUCCCUGACAAUACUGUUCAUAUUCCUCCAGGGGAGAAAGUUAAUGCUGCUCCUUGCAGUCAAGCUUAUGUAGUGAUAAUAAACAGUACUUAAGAAAUUCACAGUUGCUGUCAAGGGUCUUCACAAAGGGGUCAUUUGUAAUGAAACAAAAGACAUAUCUGGUGGACUGACUUCUGGAAAGAAAAAAACAAUUAGAUAACACAUGAGAAUCCAUGGCUGGUUUUAGCUUUUCAAUGGUCUGAUUUGCUACUCGAGCACCCUUCAGUACCUUUUUUAAAUACAUCCCCCUAUGCAGUUAUUGGCUUUUGUGACUUGCACUUCCUUGACCCACAUAGCUAUCUUCAGUUGUCUGAGUACAGCCUGCAUCUAACAUUGCUUGCUAAACAAUUUUGAAAACCAGUGGAGUAACAUCAAAUGGUAUUCAAGAAAUUUGCAGCAGAUGAUUGCAAGGAGCAAAGCUGUGAGCACUGAAAUAUUGAUAAUAAGGAAAUGCAAGAUGCUUAUCUUGUCACUUUCAUUUUAGCACUUACCUUUAAUAAAAAUAUAAACCAAAGGCAUCUUGGAUCUCCUCCCUGAACAAACAUACUUCAAUACAGUAAUUGAGUUGAUAGUCUGUGCUAUUAAAAAUGGGUAAAAAUAGUUUAGAAGAAUGUGAAACAAAAUCUGUCUUUGAUGAGUGUGAGGAGAGAUGAGGCAGAACACCACAGAGUUUCACUUCAUCAGGGUUUUUGCAGCUCUAAUUUGAACAUGGCUAUUUUUAGAAGACUUGUACAUAUCAACAACACUAAUGACUGCCAACAGAGACAACCAUGUUCUUAGAGCCAGCGGCAUCGUGUGCAGCUCUCAGGAUUUAACUAAAGCAUGUUUUUGGCAAAUAGUAAUAAAAGUAAUUAAUUCUGUUUGUUUCCAACAAA